rnacentral:rRNA from 1 species
UAAUACGUAGGGUGCAAGCGUUGUCCGGAUUUAUUGGGUUUAAAGGGUGCGCAGGCGGCUUAUUAAGUCAGUGUUGAAAUACAACGGCUCAACCGUUGGCCCGGCACUGAUACUGAUAAGCUUGAGAAUACUGGAGGCAGGCGGAAUUUAUGGUGUAGCGGUGAAAUGCAUAGAUACCAUAAAGAACACCGAUAGCGAAGGCAGCUUGCCGUGGUAUAUCUGACGCUCAGGCACGAAAGUGUGGGGAUCAAACAGG